rnacentral:rRNA from 1 species
UACAGAGGUCUCAAGCGUUGUUCGGAUUCAUUGGGCGUAAAGGGUGCGUAGGUGGCGCGGUAAGUCGGGUGUGAAAUCUCGGAGCUUAACUCCGAAAUUGCAUUCGAUACUGCCGUGCUCGAGGACUGGAGAGGAGACUGGAAUUCAUGGUGUAGCAGUGAAAUGCGCAGAUAUCAGGAGGAACACCGAUGGCGAAGGCAGGUCUCUGGGCCAUUACUGACACUGAGAAGCGAAAGCAUGGGGAGCAAACAGG